AUGGAAGUAUUUUCAAACAGGGCCUGGACAGAAAAACUGAAAGCGCAUUACAAAGGAAUACGUUUCCAGGAAGUGAAAACACCAUUCCGGCUAAAGGAACACCAAAAUCCGCUUUUGGAAAAUGAAGACGUAAUCCCGAGGCUCACGCAUCCACUUAUCCACGUCAGCGUACCUGGGGGUCAACGCGUGGCAGCUGACGAGUGGGGUCAUGGGGCCCAUGGCCAGCUGGCGAGGGGGGCGUCAUAUCCUUCCUCUCGCCCGCGCCUAGCCGCGGAAGAGCCGGGCCCGACGAGGCCUGCCGAAGCUACAGGGCACCUCCGGCAAGGCUCUGCCUAUGGAAAUGCUCAGCGUCAAGCGACGCGUCGAACGGUCCCAUCCACGGUCGCCGGGAUGGACCGAGUCGACUGA
rnacentral:rRNA from 1 species